rnacentral:rRNA from 1 species
GACGAACGCUGGCGGCGUGCUUAACACAUGCAAGUCGAGCGGAGCGGCGAACGGGUGAGUAACGCGUGAGUAACUGCCCCCCUCUCUGGGAUAACAGUUGGAAACGGCUGCUAAUACCGGAUAGUGGGGGAUGACUCGCGUCCUAUCAGCUUGUUGGUGGGGUAGUGGCCUACCAAGGCGACGACGGGUAGCCGGCCUGAGAGGGCGACCGGCCACAUUGGGCUGAGAUACGGCCCAAACUCCUACGGGAGGCAGCAGUGGGGAAUAUUGCACAAUGGGGGAAACCCUGAUGCAGCAACGCCGCGUGCGGGAUGACGGCCUUCGGGUUGUAAACCCCUGGUGAGCAUGCUUUUUGAACUGGUAAAGAAGUACCGGCUAACUACGUGCCAGCAGCCGCGGUAAUAC